rnacentral:rRNA from 1 species
CACGCCGUAAACGCUGAGUGCUAGGUGUUAGNUCCUUUCCGGGACUUAGUGCCGACGCUAACGCAUUAAGCACUCCGCCUGGGGAGUACGACCGCAAGGUUGAAACUCAAAGGAAUUGACGGGGGCCCGCACAAGCGGUGGAGCAUGUGGUUUAAUUCGAAGCAACGCGAAGAACCUUACCAGGUCUUGACAUCCCGAUGCCCGCUCUAGAGAUAGAGUUUUACUUUUUGUACAUCGGAGACAGGUGGUGCAUGGUUGUCGUCAGCUCGUGUCGUGAGAUGUUGGGUUAAGUCCCGCAACGAGCGCAACCCUUAUUGUUAGUUGCCAUCAUUAAGUUGGGCACUCUAGCGAGACUGCCGGUAAUAAACCGGAGGAAGGUGGGGAUGACGUCAAAUCAUCAUGCCCCUUAUGACCUGGGCUAUACACGUGCUACAAUGGUUGGUACAACGAGUCACAAGCCGGUGACGGCAAGCUAAUCUCUGAAAGCCAAUCUCAGUUCGGAUUGUAGGCUGCAACUCGCCUACAUGAAGUCGGAAUCGCUAGUAAUCGCGGAUCAGCACGCCGCGGUGAAUACGUUCCCGGGCCUUGUACACACCGCCCGUCACACCACGAGAGUUUGUAACACCCAAAGUCGGUGAGGUAACCAUUCAUGGGGCCANCCGCCUA